CUGAUGCAGCGACGCCGCGUGAGGGAUGGAGGCCUUCGGGUUGUAAACCUCUUUCGCCAGUGAAGCAGGCCUGUCCCUUUUGUGGGUGGGUUGACGGUAGCUGGAUAAGAAGCGCCGGCUAACUACGUGCCAGCAGCCGCGGUAAUACGUAGGGCGCGAGCGUUGUCCGGAAUUAUUGGGCGUAAAGAGCUCGUAGGCGGCUGGUCGCGUCUGUCGUGAAAUCCUCUGGCUUAACUGGGGGCUUGCGGUGGGUACGGGCCGGCUUGAGUGCGGUAGGGGAGACUGGAACUCCUGGUGUAGCGGUGGAAUGCGCAGAUAUCAGGAAGAACACCGGUGGCGAAGGCGGGUCUCUGGGCCGUUACUGACGCUGAGGAGCGAAAGCGUGGGGAGCGAACAGGAUUAGAUACCCUGGUAGUCCACGCCGUAAACGUUGGGCACUAGGUGUGGGGGGCCUUUUCCGGGUCUUCCGCGCCGUAGCUAACGCAUUAAGUGCCCCGCCUGGGGAGCACGGCCGCAAGGCUAAAACUCAAAGGAAUUGACGGGGGCCCGCACAAGCGGCGGAGCAUGCGGAUUAAUUCGAUGCAACGCGAAGAACCUUACC
rnacentral:rRNA from 1 species